GACGAACGCUGGCGGCGUGCUUAACACAUGCAAGUCGAACGGAAAGGCCCUGCUUUUGUGGGUUGCUCGAGUGGCGAACGGGUGAGUAACACGUGAGUAACCUGCCCUUGACUUUGGGAUAACUUCAGGAAACUGGGGCUAAUACCGGAUAUGAGCUCCUGCUGCAUGGUGGGGGUUUGAAAGGUUCGGCGGUUGGGGAUGGACUCGCGGCUUAUCAGCUUGUUGGUGGGGUAGUGGCUUACCAAGGCUUUGACGGGUAGCCGGCCUGGGAGGGUGACCGGCCACAUUGGGACUGAGAUACGGCCCAGACUCCUACGGGAGGCAGCAGUGGGGAAUAUUGCACAAUGGGCGGAAGCCUGAUGCAGCAACGCCGCGUGCGGGAUGACGGCCUUCGGGUUGUAAACCGCUUUCGCCUGUGACGAAGCGUGAGUGACGGUAAUGGGUGAAGAAGCACCGGCUAACUACGUG
rnacentral:rRNA from 1 species